GGGGAUUGUGGUGGUUGUAGUCCUGCGUCUCGGUGGCGGCUCGGGCGCCCUCCUCACUAAGAACUUCGAUAUAUGGCCGGUACUUCUCGAGUGUCUCCACUUCGCCCUGUCAGCCCUGUUUUAUUCCGAGCCUGCUCGCGGGCCCCUAAGACCUCCACUCUGGCCACCAUGCGUCCUAGCCAGUGGCGGGCGGCGCCGCGCGUGCCCUCUGCUUCAUCUUGCUCACGCCGUCCCCAGCGCGCUUCUUGGCGCCAGUUCCGCUGCCUCGCUAACAUCUGCCGUCCUCUGAAAUGGUCCUGCCGACAGGCCUUCUCUAACCCAGUGGCAGGCGCGCCUGCUGCGUUUCCGCUUUGUCCUGGUGAUGCUUAUUAAGCUUCAGUAAGAUGUCAUGCCCUGUCGAAAUGCCCUGAUGGCUCCCAUUUCAUUAAGAAGAAAAGCCAACGUCCUCAAAACGGCCUGCUAGGCUCCCGACGCCCCUCGGCUGACUUUACCUUCUAACACUCCCCGACUCUCUCCUCUGGCUGCA